rnacentral:rRNA from 1 species
AGCGAACGUUAGCGGCAGGCCUAACACAUGCAAGUCGAGCGAGAAAGUACCUUCGGGUGCGAGUAAAGCGGCGGACGGGUGAGUAACACGUGGGUAACCUGCCCUCCGGAAGGGGACAACCACCCGAAAGGGUGGCUAAUACCGUAUACGUCAACCAGGAUCGCGGUCCUGGUUGAGAAAGCUGGCUUCGGCUGGCGCCGGAGGAGGGGCCCGCGGCGCAUCAGCUUGAUGGUGGGGUAACGGCCUACCAUGGCUAAGACGCGUAGCUGGUCUGAGAGGAUGAUCAGCCACACUGGGACUGAGACACGGCCCAGACUCCUACGGGAGGCAGCAGUGGGGAAUAUUGGACAAUGGGGGAAACCCUGAUCCAGCCAUGCCGCGUGAGUGAUGAAGGCCCUCGGGUCGUAAAGCUCUGUGGAGAGCCACGAAACCUGGUCGGUUAAUACCCGGCCAGCUGACGGUAGCUCUUUAGCAAGCACCGGCUAACUCCGUGCCAGCCGCCGCCGUAACAC